rnacentral:rRNA from 1 species
CCUACGGGUGGCAGCAGUAGGGAAUUUUCGUCAAUGUGCGCAAGCCUGAACGAGCAAUGCCGCGUGAACGAGGAAGGUCUUCGGAUCGUAAAGUUCUGUUGAAGGGGAAAAACAUCGGCGAGAGGAAAUGAUUUCUGAUUGAUAUUACCCUUAGAGGAAGUCAUGGCUAACUAUCUGCCAGCAUCCGCGGUAAUACAUAGGGUACGAGCGUUAUCCGGAAUGAUUGGGCGUAAAUCGUGCGUAGGCUGCGUGCUAAGUCUGGAGUGAAAGGUGCGGCCUCAACCCGGACAGGCUUUGGAAAAUAGCAGGCUAGAGAGCAGGAGAGGGAGGUGGAAGUCCAUGUGUAGCGGUAAAAUGCGUAGAUAUAGGGAAGAACACCAGUGGCGAAGGCGGCCGACUGGCCUGUUACUGACGCUGAGGGACGAAAGCGUGGGGAGCAAAUAGGAUUAGAUACCCGAGUAGUC